rnacentral:tRNA from 2 species
CCCUGGUUAGCUCAGUUGGUAGAGCGCUCCACUUGUAAUGGAGAGGUCCCAGGUUCAAUACCCGGACCAGGCA